rnacentral:rRNA from 1 species
CAGCAGCCGCGGGAAUACGUAGGGGGCAAGCGUUAUCCGGAAUUACUGGGUGUAAAGGGAGCGUAGACGGUUAAACAAGUCUGAAGUGAAAUGCCGGGGCUCAACCCCGGAGCUGCUUUGGGAACUGUAGAACUGGAGUGUCGGAGGGGUAAGCGGAAUUCCCAGUGUAGCGGUGAAAUGCGUAGAUAUUGAGAGGAACACCGGCGGCGAAGGCGGCUUACUGGACGACAACUGACGUUGAGGCUCGAAGGCGUGGGUAGCAAACAGGAUUAGAUACCCGCGUAGUCCCUGUCUCUUAUAU